rnacentral:lncRNA from 1 species
AGCGGCAGCUCUAUAAAGGCUUGUGAGAUUGUGCAGGAAAUAGAGGAAACUGGAGUCUGAGGGAGACUGGGAGACAGAGGCCACAGCAGAGCAAGGAGGAACAGAAAUCCAUAUGAGCAGGAAAAUCUUCUCCAGCCAGUGGAGGUGGCUGCUGAGAACAUUAGCAUGGAGUCUUGCCUGAAGAGGCUACUUUUGCUGUCUUGCCAGAUCUAUGGUAGAGUAACAUUAUCUGUGAUGUAAAUUAGAUUGAAAAUUGGUUUGAAUCUUUG